rnacentral:tRNA from 1 species
UAGCUCAGUCAGCUGAGCAUAGCGCUAACAACGCUAAGGUCAUGGGUUCGAUUCCCGU